rnacentral:rRNA from 1 species
UUUGAUCCUGGCUCAGAUUGAACGCUGGCGGCAUGCCUUACACAUGCAAGUCGAACGGUAACAGGUCUUCGGAUGCUGACGAGUGGCGAACGGGUGAGUAAUACAUCGGAACGUGCCCGAUCGUGGGGGAUAACGGAGCGAAAGCCUUGCUAAUACCGCAUACGAUCUACGGAUGAAAGCGGGGGAUCUUCGGACCUCGCGCGGACGGAGCGGCCGAUGGCAGAUUAGGUAGUUGGUGGGAUAAAAGCUUACCAAGCCGACGAUCUGUAGCUGGUCUGAGAGGAUGAUCAGCCACACUGGGACUGAGACACGGCCCAGACUCCUACGGGAGGCAGCAGUGGGGAAUUUUGGACAAUGGGCGCAAGCCUGAUCCAGCCAUGCCGCGUGCAGGAUGAAGGCCUUCGGGUUGUAAACUGCUUUUGUACGGAACGAAAAGGUGCCUUCUAAUAAAGGGCGCUCAUGACGGUACCGUAAGAAUAAGCACCGGCUAACUACGUGCCAGCAGCCGCGGUAAUACGUAGGGUGCAAGCGUUAAUCGGAAUUACUGGGCGUAAAGCGUGCGCAGGCGGUUUUGUAAGACAGAGGUGAAAUCCCCGGGCUCAACCUGGGAACUGCCUUUGUGACUGCAAGGCUGGAGUGCGGCAGAGGGGGAUGGAAUUCCGCGUGUAGCAGUGAAAUGCGUAGAUAUGCGGAGGAACACCGAUGGCGAAGGCAAUCCCCUGGGCCUGCACUACGCUCU